rnacentral:tRNA from 1 species
GAGGGUAUAGCUCAGUGGUAGAGUACAUGCUUAGCAUGCACAAGGUCCUGGGUUCAAUCCCUAGUGCCUCCA